rnacentral:rRNA from 1 species
CCUACGGGUGGCAGCAGUGAGGAAUAUUGGUCAAUGGCCGGAAGGCUGAACCAGCCAUGCCACGUGAAGGUCAGUGCUCUAUGGGCGUUAAACUUUUUUUGUGCGGGAGCAAUAAUGGUCACGUGUGGCCAGACGAGAGUACCGUACGAAUAAGCAUCGGCCAACUCCGUGCCAGCAGCCGCGGGAAUACGGGGGAUGCAAGCGUUAUCCGGAUUUAUUGGGUUUAAAGGGUGCGUAGGCUGUGAGGUAAGUCAGCGGUGAAAUGCCCCCGAUCAACGGGGUGAAGUGCCAUUGAUACUGCCUUGCUGGAAUGCGGAUGACGUGGGAGGAAUGUGUGGUGUAGCGGUGAAAUGCAUAGAUAUCACACAGAACACCGAUUGCGAAGGCAUCUCGCGAAUCCGCGAUUGACGCUGAUGCACGAAAGCGUGGGUAUCGAACAGGAUUAGAUACCCUUGUAGUC